GUGCCAGCAGCCGCGGUAAUACGGAGGGUGCGAGCGUUAAUCGGAAUUACUGGGCGUAAAGGGCGCGUAGGCGGUCGCGCAAGUCGGGUGUGAAAGCCCCGGGCUCAACCUGGGAAUUGCAUUCGAUACUGCGUAACUAGAGUCUGGUAGAGGGAAGCGGAAUUCCGCAUGUAGCGGUGAAAUGCAUAGAGAUGCUACAGAACACCGAUCGCGAAGGCAGCUCACUAAGCCGAUAUUGACGCUCAGGCACGAAAGCGUGGGGAGCGAACAGGAUUAGAUACCCUGGUAGUCCACGCCGUAAACGAUGAUAACUCGUUGUUGGCGACACACAGUCAGCGACUAAGCGAAAGCGAUAAGUUAUCCACCGUGGGGAGUACGAUCGCAAGGUUGAAACUCAAAUGAAUUGGCGG
rnacentral:rRNA from 1 species